rnacentral:rRNA from 1 species
CAGUCGCCGCGGUAAUACGUAGGGUGCAAGCGUUAAUCGGAAUUACUGGGCGUAAAGCGUGCGCAGGCGGUUAUAUAAGACAGAUGUGAAAUCCCCGGGCUCAACCUGGGAACUGCAUUUGUGACUGUAUAGCUAGAGUACGGCAGAGGGGGAUGGAAUUCCGCGUGUAGCAGUGAAAUGCGUAGAUAUGCGGAGGAACACCGAUGGCGAAGGCAAUCCCCUGGGCCUGUACUGACGCUUAUGCACGAAAGCGUGGGGAGCAAACAGGAUUAGAUACCCGCGUAGUCCCUGUCUCUUAUAC